GGAGCGGUAUCGAAGUGGUCAUAACGGCCCUGACUCGAAAUCAGGUAACGGGCAACCGUUCGUGGGUUCGAAUCCCACCUGCUCCGCCA
rnacentral:tRNA from 2 species